rnacentral:rRNA from 1 species
CCUACGGGGGGCAGCAGUGGGGAAUAUUGGACAAUGGGGGAAACCCUGAUCCAGCGACGCCGCGUGAGUGAAGAAGUAUUUCGGUACGUAAAGCUCUAUCAGCAGGAAAGAAAAUGACGGUACCUGACUAAUAAGCCCCGGCUAACUCCGUGCCAGCAGCCGCGGUCAUACGUAGGGGGCAAGCGUUAUCCGGAUUUACUGGGUGGAAAGGGAGCGUAGACGGCAGGGCAAGUCUGGAGUGAAAUGCCGGGGCCCAACCCCGGAACUGCUCUGGAAACUGUGAAGCUGGAGUGCAGGAGAGGUAAGCGGAAUUCCUAGUGUAGCGGUGAAAUGCGUAGAUAUCAGGAGGAACACCGGCGGCGAAGGCGGCUUACUGGACUGUAACUGACGUUGAGGCUCGAAGGCGUGGGGAGCAAACAGGAUUAGAUACCCUAGUAGUC